rnacentral:rRNA from 1 species
CCUUGCACUCUGGGAUAAGCUUGGGAAACUGGGUCUAAUACCGGAUAGGAACCGUCUUUAGUGUGGUGGUUGGAAAGUUUUUUCGGUGCAAGAUGAGCUCGCGGCCUAUCAGCUUGUUGGUGGGGUAAUGGCCUACCAAGGCGUCGACGGGUAGCCGGCCUGAGAGGGUGUACGGCCACAUUGGGACUGAGAUACGGCCCAG